rnacentral:rRNA from 1 species
GAGUUUGAUCCUGGCUCAGGACGAACGCUGGCGGCGCGCCUAACACAUGCAAGUCGAACGGAGCUUAGAGAGCUUGCUUUUUAAGCUUAGUGGCGAACGGGUGAGUAACGCGUGAGUAACCUGCCCUAGAGUGGGGGACAACAGUUGGAAACGACUGCUAAUACCGCAUAAGCCCACGGUACCGCAUGGUACUGAGGGAAAAGGAUUUAUUCGCUUUAGGAUGGACUCGCGUCCAAUUAGCUAGUUGGCGGGGUAACGGCCCACCAAGGCGACGAUCAGUAGCCGGACUGAGAGGUUGAACGGCCACAUUGGGACUGAGACACGGCCCAGACUCCUACGGGAGGCAGCAGUGGGGAAUAUUGCACAAUGGGGGAAACCCUGAUGCAGCGACGCCGCGUGAGCGAAGAAGUAUUUCGGUAUGUAAAGCUCUAUCAGCAGGGAAGAUAAUGACGGUACCUGACUAAGAAGCACCGGCUAAAUACGUGCCAGCCGCCGCGGUAAUAC